CGGACGGGUGAGUAACGCGUGGGUAACCUGCCUUGCACUGGGGGAUAACACUUAGAAAUAGGUGCUAAUACCGCAUAAGCGCACGGUCCUGCAUGGGACAGUGUGAAAACUCCGGUGGUGCAAGAUGGACCCGCGUCUGAUUAGCUGGUUGGCGGGGGUAAAGGCCCACCAAGGCGACGAUCAGUAGCCGGCCUGAGAGGGUGGACGGCCACAUUGGGACUGAGACACGGCCCAAACUCCUACGGGAGGCAGCAG
rnacentral:rRNA from 1 species